UACAUAGGGGGCAAGCGUUAUCCGGAAUUAUUGGGCGUAAAGGGUGCGUAGGCGGCUAUUUAAGUUUAAGGUGUAAGUGCAAGGCUCAACCUUGUGAGGCUUUAAAAACUGGAUAGCUUGAGGUAGACAGAGGCAAGUGGAAUUCCAUGUGUAGCGGUAAAAUGCGUAAAUAUAUGGAGGAACACCAGUGGCGAAGGCGGCUUGCUGGGUCUAAACUGACGCUGAGGCACGAAAGCGUGGGGAGCAAACAGGAUUAGAUACCCGUGUAGUCCCUGA
rnacentral:rRNA from 1 species